rnacentral:misc_RNA from 1 species
UCUCCGUAGGUGAACCUGCGGAGGGAUCCUUACUGAGUGAGGGCUCACGCCCGACCUCCAACCCUUUGUGAACACAUCUUGUUGCUUCGGGGGCGACCCUGCCGGCACUCGGUCGCCGGGCGCACCCGAAGGUCUCCCAACACUGCAUCUUUGCGUCGGAGUUUAAAACAAAUUAAACAAGACUUUCAACAACGGAUCUCUUGGUUCUGGCAUAGAUGAAGAACGCAGC